ACUCCUACGGGAGGCAGCAGUAGGGAAUCUUCCACAAUGGGCGCAAGCCUGAUGGAGCAACACCGCGUGAGUGAAGAAGGGUUUCGGCUCGUAAAGCUCUGUUGUUAAAGAAGAACACGUAUGAGAGUAACUGUUCAUACGUUGACGGUAUUUAACCAGAAAGUCACGGCUAACUACGUGCCAGCAGCCGCGGUAAUACGUAGGUGGCAAGCGUUAUCCGGUAUUUAGUUGGGCGUAAAGAGAGUGCAGGCGGUUUUCUAAGUCUGAUGUGAAAGCCUUCGGCUUAACCGGAGAAGUGCAUCGGAAACUGGAUAACUUGAGUGCAGAAGAGGGUAGUGGAACUCCAUGUGUAGCGGUGGAAUGCGUAGAUAUAAUGGAAGAACACCGAGUGGCGAACGGCGGGCUACCUGGUCUGCAACUGACGCUGAGACUCGAAAGCAUGGGUAGCGAACAGGAUUAGAUACCCCGU
rnacentral:rRNA from 1 species